rnacentral:rRNA from 1 species
CACGUAGUUAGCCGGAGCCUUUUCUUCAGGUACCGUCAUUAUCGUCCCUGAUAAAAGGAGUUUACAAUCCGAAAACCUUCUUCCUCCACGCGGCAUCGCUGCAUCAGGGUUUCCCCCAUUGUGCAAUAUUCCCCACUGCUGCCUCCCGUAGGAGUCUGGGCCGUGUCUCAGUCCCAAUGUGGCCGUUCAACCUCUCAGUCCGGCUACUGAUCGUCGACUUGGUGAGCCGUUACCUCACCAACUAUCUAAUCAGACGCGAGCCCAUCUCUGAGCGAAUUUCUUUGAUAACAAAUCAUGCGAUUUCACUAUGUUAUGAGGUAUUACCAUCCGUUUCCAGAAGCUAUCCCUCUCUCAGAGGCAGGUUGCUCACGUGUUACUCACCCGUCGCCACUAACUUGAGGAAGCAAGCUUCCUCUCGUCCGUUCGACUUGCAUUGUGUUAGGCGUUGCCCGUCAGCCGUUCGUCCUGUACGCCAGGAUCCGAAAACUCUCGUUGACG